rnacentral:rRNA from 1 species
AGAACGAACGCUGGCGGCAUGCCUAAUACAUGCAAGUCGAACGAACACUUCGGUGUUAGUGGCGCACGGGUGCGUAACGCGUGGGAAUCUGCCCUUGGGUUCGGAAUAACAGUUGGAAACGACUGCUAAUACCGGAUGAUAUCGAAAGAUCAAAGAUUUAUCGCCCAGGGAUGAGCCCGCGUAGGAUUAGCUAGUUGGUGAGGUAAAGGCUCACCAAGGCGACGAUCCUUAGCUGGUCUGAGAGGAUGAUCAGCCACACUGGGACUGAGACACGGCCCAGACUCCUACGGGAGGCAGCAGUAGGGAAUAUUGGACAAUGGGC